UAUAUAUACACAUAUAUAUUACUUAAGAAUAUUAUUGUAGUAGUAUUUAUCCUAAUUCUUGUAUUAUUAUUUUGAUAUUAUAUUUCCCCAUCUAUUAUAUCAUAUUUUUUCCAACAGUCUAAGAAACUAUGGCAAAUAAUAUGUCUUAAUACUACUGAUAAUAUUUAUGAUGGUGCUACAAAAGUUAUUACUUUUCCGGUCACUAUGUCAGAAGUUUAUGGUAUAGCAAACUACAAAAAAGAGUCAUUCAAAGAAGAGGAAUCAACACGGCAAGCAAACUUAGUACAAGACUGAAGGAGUAACAACAAAAGGUCAUCAUGCCGCAAAGUGUAGGAGGAGAGUAAAAAAUGACAAAGAAAAGUGUUAUCCUCCCAAGGCUAAUUUAACUGAAGGAGAUGAAAUUAUUGCAACUGUCAUUUCUCAAGUAAACAUUGUAGCACAUAUAAAAGAAUGGGUGGUAGACUCUGGGGCUACUCGGCACAUUUGUGCGAAUCGAGAAGCAUUUGCCUCCUAUACAUCAAUAGGGGAUGACAGUGAAGUAGUCUACCUUGGAGACUCAAGAACUACUAAAGUCUUGGGUAAGGGUAAAGUGCUCCUGAAACUUACUUCAGGAAAAACUUUAGCCCUUAUGAAUGUGCUACAUGUUCCUACAAUGAGUGCAAACCUGAUUUCCGUAGACUUGCUUAAUAAAGCUAAAGUAAAGUGUCAUUUGAAUUCGAAAAGAUAAUACUAACAAAAAAUAAUGUGUUUGUGAGAAAAGACUAUUGUAACAAGGGACUUUUCGUACUUAAUGUUUGUAAUGUUGUGAAUGAAAAAGCAUCUACUUCUGCUUA